rnacentral:lncRNA from 1 species
UAGGUUAUUUGAAAAGAAAGAAAUCAAGGAAUCUUUGAGGGAUUUGCUCUCCUUAUUGUAGCAUUAACCGUUUGUUCCAAAUCUUGUCUAUUUUGUUCAAAAGGUCAAAUUUCUUGAUAUAGACGCUCUUGAGAACCUUAUUGAUAUUUUGACAUCCAAUGAUGCUUAGUUUGCCUUUUCACAUAGGUGACACUUCUUUGGUGCCCAUUUAUAAUAAUUCAUUUUCAUCUAAUAAAGAAGAGGAGUCAACCAAGCCCACACGCUUGCUUCAUUUUCUCAAACCCUCUUUCUUCUGAAAUGUAAGUCUAGAAAAUAUCUAUAUCAAUCAACCAAAUUUGAUUCAAAU